UAAACGCUGGCGGCGUGCAUGAGACAUGCAAGUCGAACGAAGGAUCGGGCUUGCUCGAUCCUUAGUGGCGGACGGCUGAGUAACGCGUAGGUGACCUACCCCGAAGUGGGGAAUAACUGCCCGAAAGGGUGGCUAAUACCGCAUGUGGUCGCACGUUCAUUCGUGCGAGUAAAGCCGCAAGGCGCUUCGGGAGGGGCCUGCGUCCGAUUAGCUCGUUGGUGGGGUAAUGGCUUACCAAGGCGACGAUCGGUAGGUGGUCUGAGAGGACGAUCACCCAGACUGGGACUGAGACACGGCCCAGACUCCUACGGGAGGCAGCAGUCGGGAAUUUUGCUCAAUGGGGGAAACCCUGAAGCAGCAACGCCGCGUGAGGGAUGAAGGCCUUCGGGUUGUAAACCUCUUUUGUCAGGGACGAUGAUGACGGUACCUGGCGAAUAAGCCACGACUAACUACGUG
rnacentral:rRNA from 1 species